GAAAAGCACUCUGAAGAGAGAGUCAAAAGACCGUGAAACCGCUCAGAGUAUAAGCCAAUGGAGCUUGGAAGGCUUCCGCAGGUGAUGUCCAUCAUACGUGGUGUUCUUAAGACCUUGAGUGUGGCUCGUCAGGCGUAGCAUUGAGUUUGCCAGGUUUAGCUGUCGUGCGGGGGGUUCGGCUGGGAGGACUUCGGCUUCGGCCGGAGGGCUCUUCUGGUCGUCCCCUUUUGAAUGGACGUUCAGAACCUCUUGUGUCUAAUGCGGUUAUGCCCACCACAGCACGUUGUGAGGUCACCCACAGGCUCAACUGCCGAUCGCGCAUCCAGGACGAUGGCAACGAUGCGUUGUUGAUGAUGGUGGCUCGAGAGAGACCACACACACACACGCGUGUCUAGUCCUGGGUCGGGCGGCGACCGAGAUAAACCUGGUACGAUCCUCUAGCGACGAGCUGCUUUCUGGCCAGACCGACGCCCAGGCGCUUCCACUGUGCCGGAAGCGUCAACCCCAGGCGGUGUGAACCCAGCUGCAUUAUGCAAGGUCUCUCAGCCGGGCGUUGGUCUGAGUGGUGUUAAGUCCAGCACCAUCGGUCACGUCUUGAAACACGGGCCAAGGAGUAUAGCAUGUGUGCAAGUCUAAGGGUCUCACAAAACCCGAAGGCGAAGUGAAAGCAAGACUGUGGCGGGGGAGCUACGGCGAACCCGCCGGCCUAGUGUGACGCGUGCGUCGCCUGGCUUUAACAGAGCUGAUCCUGUUUUCUCGGUUAAUUCUUGGUGCAGGCGCAAGCUCCGGGCUCACGUACAACACUGGUCACACGCCUCGCGUGUGUGGCUGUGUUGUGAGCACCGUGGAGCAUGCAUGCUAUGACCCGAAAGAUAGUGAACUAUGCCUGGCGAGGGCGAAGCCCCAGGAAACUGGGGUGGAGGCCCGUAGCCGUUGUGACGUGCAAAUCCAUGGUAUCAGCUGGGCAUAGGGGCGAAAGACCAAUCGAACUAUCUAGUAGCU
rnacentral:rRNA from 1 species